CAGGAAGAAGCACUAAUGAACGUUCCAACGGCUCCUCUGCUGCCUGUCGCAUGUGAAGAUGCUGCUGAGCACCACUGGACGCUGCAGUCAGAGCACAGGUUGGGACCAGCAACAUGUGAUGCUGUGAGAGCACGGAUGCUCAGCUAAAGACUGGGGGAAGCACUGAUUUGUAGUUAGAAUCUGCUGACACAUAAAUGCUGUGAGGAUGAUGCUGAAUAUCCAUGUAAUUCUCCAAGCUCCAUGGAAGACACCUGAGGUGGUCUUGGUCCCAUCAGGAGCAUGCAGACCAAGCCUUGGUGGCCCCUUGCAUGCGAUGGAGGGUCCUGCUCCUCGUGCUCCUGGCCGCAUGCUGAUGCUCUCUGCCAAGGGAAGGAAGCAUGCGGUGGGUCAGCGCAUUGGAGGUCUCUGAUUGAACCCGGUGAUGAAUCGCAACUUGAUGACUUCCUCUACAUCAAUGGAGCUGAACUGGCUUGGGGAAACUGUUUGAUUUAAGAAGAAUAGGCCUAAUUUUGGAAGUGCUUCACACCCAUCAAUCUAAGUGAAAUUCAUUUAUCUGAGGCACAGCUGAUACGUCUCCCAUUUACAUAGCACUAAGUGCCUCACAGCCCUUGAUAGAUUCAAGCUCACAGCAGGGGAAAGGGGCAGCACUGCUAGCCCCUUUGCGCAGGCGGAAAAGAGAUGUGCAGUAUAAUGGGAGUCAAUCCAUCAUUCUGCCCCACACCCAGGAAUGGCAUCCACCUCCCAGGAAUGCCGAGCAAGAGCAAAGUGGCUGUAUGUGCAUUCUGGUGUGAUGUACACAGGGGAAUGGACAGCAGGAGCCUUCAGAGCAUUUUCCAUCUCCCAUCUAACAGGGUUUUAUGAAGUGUUUGCAAUAAUGUUUCCAAGGCAGGGUUGAAGGCAGAGUGGGAAUCACAGUGGAAUCUGAUGGAAGAGAUAUUUAGAGGGAAGAGACAUAUGGCAUCUUAAAUAAAAGAACCUACUCAGUGGUUAAUCUCCACUUGAAAAACAUCCAGGACAGGCUCGUCCAUCUACCGUUGCACACCCUGCCAUGCAGCCUGCUGUCCAAAGGCACUGCAGUUAACGCCAUGUCUCUUCCCUACAGCCUACAGCCCAUUCCAAACUGCGCACUGGAUCGAGACAUCCCCUAAAAGCCAGGAAGGAAAUUCCUGGGAGCCCAUGGCCUGGAGGGUUUGGGGAAACUGAAGCUCAUUCCCAAGCUCUCCCUGGGUCCUGCCAACCCGAGCCAGUGGCUCAAGGCAGGGAGGGUGGAGACCGUCAGCAUCAUCAGCAUCCUUUAUGGACCUUUAUGGUCCUUGGUGGUCUGGAAGCAGGAGGCAGAAAAAACAAGUGGCUCCUUCCCGCAACUCUCUAUGGGCACUUAGGACAAUGAUGAAAUGCUCGGGCAAUCACAGUGCUUAUUUAAUGCCAGCACUAUCCCAGCCGCUUUAUAAACAAGUAUGAGUAAUGGGAGAGCGGGGGGGGCAAAAGUUGCUCCCUCUUCCUCUCAGAUCUUCUGAGUGAGCACUUCUGCCGUGAUUUAUCCUUCUUGCAACCUUAUUGACUCACUGGGGAUGUAAAUCAAGCAACCCAACAUUUUACCCGGAAUUCCAGUUAUUUAUAUAGAGAUUGAAAGGAUAUAAUUACAGCUGCUAAAUAUGGCCUGGCAGAAAGGAGAGAUACAGGUGUCCGUCUUCUUGGAGGUUAAGGAUGGAAAAGUCCAUGCUUGGCUCCCUGCCCAUCCCUGCAGAUCAGAGGCUCCAAGCAUUUCACUGCUCCGCUGGUGUGGAGGAUGGGCUGACAUGUGGUUGGAGUUUGGCAAUCAGUGCAUGGAUCUGCUGGAAAGGACCUGGCAGUGAUGCUCUCCCUUCUUUCCAUCUCAUAUGUCCACCGUGUUCUGGGAAGAGAUCCAGGGAGGACAAUUUGCCUCAGCUACUUGCAAGCCUGGAACGAGCCUGCUCGGUGUCACAAGGGGUUUCCAGGACACGUUCAAGACCAGGAAGCACCGACUGUCACUGGUUAACAAGGAGCACGAUGCUGUCCCCAGCACCUGCAUCCCAUCCAGGAUCCCGUGACCUGUGCCCACGAAGGACAAACACCAAGGACCAGGCAUCCAGGCAGCUCUGUGCUUGGCUGCGGGGCCAGGGCAGCAUCCGGGAGCUGCAGGGCUCCUCUCCUUUGCCGGCAGGAUGCGGCCCUGGUUAGUUAUGUGCCGAUCGAGUGAGGAAAUGGGAUGCUGGGGACAGCUCCCUGCAAGGCUCAGCCUGCGUCUCCCUGGCCCCAUCAUUUGUGCUGGGAAGUUUUAUCUUUUUAAUUUGUUACAUAUCACACAUCCUCUGAUUAAUUAUUGCUUCUCUGCAGGGAGGACUAGAGUUUAUAGAGCAAUAUAGCAUUAGUGUUAGCUUUAUACACCCUCAAAGCCCAGAGGAAGCUCGGCAGAGUACUUAUGCGAUGUUCUGUCGAUAAUAAUGACUCAGCAUUUGGCCGGAUUGGGGUAUAUCAGAAGUGCUUUAUUAAAAAGUACACAGUAUAUGCAUCGAACGUAAAUACAGCCAGGAGAUGCGAGCGUGAUGUGCUGCAUACAUAGCAGUCAGUGCCUGCGCUGGGGCCUGCCUGCCUGCUCCAUGGAUCCCAGGCAAUGCAGCAGUUUAAUUGCCACGGUGGCCUGGGAUGCAUUGAGCUGCUUGGCAUGUCCUUCAGCCCCGCGAAUGCAGGAACAGCCACAAUCCAAUUCUCUUUACAGCCGCAUGUCUCUGCCGGCUACGCGGGAGCCCUCUCCCUGAAGGAGCCUUCCCAUCCAGCAAAUGCUCUCCAGGAGGCUGUAGAAGUGAUUGGGAAGGCAUUGCAGCAGGAUAACAGCGAGGAAAUGCAGCUGAACAUUUCCAGCGCUGAGUAAACCAUAUGUCUUCAUAAUUUGAUUGUGCCCUGGUCCCCCAGGUACCUCCCAGCUCUAUUGAACACCGAUGGAGUUAUUUAGAAUCAUAAAUAAUAUUAUCAAAGGGUCUGCUGGGUAAAGAGAGCCAGUGUAUGAAUUGUCGGCGCGAGAUAUUGAUUGUUGGGAGCUGGCUAAUGAAUUAUUCUGUUUGAGGGCCGUGGAAAUGCUGCUCAGUGUUUGCAAGGCAAAGCCCCUGCAAGAACUCCCCCCUGCCCUCCGGGGCUUUGUUGUCCUGGCUGCAGCAGGCAGCGAGCACCGAUCCUGGACCCUGGGCCCCUUGGUGGUGAGCAGGCAGGGGGGGACCAUCUCCUCCUCCUCCUUUCCCACCUUCCCCCUUCCUUCCACCUAUCUGUAUGCAUUGAGGGGACCCACUGCGGGAUUUGGGUGCACCAGACCCUGUGCCAGCCCCCCGAGGCUUCCCAUUGCUCCCAGUGCCAACACCUUUCCCUGCCUGCAGGGAACCUGUCUCCCACAUCCUGAUACCUGUUGGCUUUUUGGCUUUGCCGCUGUUUAAAUGGGGCUUUUCCCCCCAGAGGUGUAUCAGCUGCCUCAAGCCCUGCCCCACAAAGAGGAGAAAUGGGCUGUCUUUUUGAGCAGAAUUGGCUUUUUUUCCCCCUCACCUGCAUAAUAUGUUCUGUUAAAUUUACAGUUUUUCUAUCCCUUUGAUGUAAGGGACUGAAAACUCUUCCUCACUAAUCUCAUGCAGCAGCGCCUCAAAUGCUGAAGGCGCUGGCUGGGGAUAUGGCAGGGAACCAGACAACAAUUAUUGGUGUUCUGGGGCUGGGGCACCAUUGAAAGACAGCUAAUUUUGAAAUAAAUUAUGCUAUUAAACCUG